AUGGACCCUGGGACGGCAUCCGCGUCCUGGGGUUUGCAACUAGGUGUGGUGCUGGUCUUUCUGCUGGCCUCUGGCUGCCAGGGGCUCAACCAUGAGGGCUGGCUUCUCCUGGCGCUCAAGAGCCAGAUGAUUGACACUUACCACCACCUUGACAACUGGAACCCCAAGGAUCCAUCGCCGUGCACGUGGAGUGGUGUCAACUGCUCCUCCUCGUCGUCGUCGAGGCUAGCAGUGGUGUCUCUCAACGUCAGCAACAUGAACCUGUCGGGCACCGUCGGCCCGGGCAUCGGCGGUCUUACCGAGCUGACUAGCCUCGAUUUGUCCUUCAACGAGUUCUCUGGUACUAUCCCUGCUGAGAUUGGGAAUUGCUCAAAACUGGUGUUGCUCAACUUGAAUAACAACAAUUUUGACGGUACAAUCCACCCUGAGCUCGGGAAGCUGGACCUGCUGAUCGGAUGCAAUCUGUGCAAUAACAGGCUCCAUGGUCCAAUACCUGAUGAGAUUGGUAACAUGUCAUCGCUUCAGGACUUGGUGGGGUACAGUAACAAUCUCUCCGGUUCUAUACCGCAUUCUGUCGGCAAGCUCAAGCACCUCAAGACUAUCCGGCUGGGACAGAAUCUUAUAUCUGGCAGCAUUCCUGCCGAGAUAGGUGAAUGCCGUAACCUGACCGUGUUUGGUCUUGCGCAGAACAAGUUGGAAGGGCCUUUGCCAAAAGAGAUUGGGAGGUUGGGUCUCAUGACAGACCUAAUCCUGUGGGGAAAUCAGCUUUCUGGCCCCAUUCCUCCAGAGAUUGGGAAUUGUACAAAUCUCAGGACAAUUGCCCUUUAUGAUAAUGAUCUGGUUGGUCCUAUACCUGCAACAAUUGGGAACAUUACUUAUCUUGAGAAGCUAUAUCUUUACAGGAAUUCAAUAAAUGGUACCAUUCCGUCUGAAAUUGGGAAGCUUUCUUUCGCAGAAGAGGUUGAUUUUUCAGAGAAUUUCUUAACGGGAGGGAUACCAAAGGAGUUAGGCAACAUACCAGGGUUGUAUCUACUCUACCUCUUCCAGAAUCAGCUUACUGGCUUUAUUCCUAGUGAGUUGUGUGGAUUGAGGAACUUGAGCAAGCUUGAUCUUUCCAUCAAUUCACUCACUGGCCCAAUUCCAGCCGGAUUUCAGUACAUGACCAAGUUAAUCCAGUUGCAACUCUUCAACAAUAUGCUAUCAGGGGACAUACCUCCAAGGUUUGGCAUUUACAGUCGACUGUGGGUGGUGGAUUUCUCAAACAACAACAUUACAGGGCAGAUACCUCGAGAUCUUUGUAGGCAGUCAAACCUUAUUUUGUUGAAUCUGGGGUCUAACAAGUUGACUGGAAACAUACCUCACAGAAUCACCAGCUGUAAAUCCUUGGUGCAGCUUCGUCUCAGUGACAACAGUCUGACAGGAAGCUUCUCCACUGAUCUCUGCAAUCUGGUGAAUUUGACAACAAUUGAGCUGGCUCGGAACAAGUUCAAUGGCCCUAUUCCUCCUCAGAUAGGGAAUUGCAACGCUCUGCAGAGGCUUAACCUUGCAAAUAAUUAUUUCACAUCUGAGUUGCCCCGAGAAAUAGGGAAAUUGUCAAAGCUUGUUGUCUUCAAUAUCUCAUCUAACAGGCUAGGAGGAAGCAUACCACUGGAGAUCUUCAAUUGUACAACAUUGCAACGUCUUGAUCUCAGCCAGAAUAGCUUUGAAGGUUCAUUGCCAAAUGAAGUUGGUAGACUGCCUCAACUGGAGCUUCUCUCGUUCGCUGAUAAUAGGCUGUCUGGGCAGAUGCCACCUAUUCUUGGUAAACUUUCACAUUUGACAGCACUGCAGAUUGGUGGCAAUCAAUUCUCCGGUGGAAUACCAAAGGAGCUGGGCCUGCUGUCAAGCUUGCAGAUUGCCAUGAAUUUGAGCUAUAAUAAUCUCUCUGGGAAUAUACCAUCAGAGCUUGGCAGUCUUGCAUUAUUGGAAAGUUUGUUUCUCAAUAAUAACAACCUGACAGGUGAAAUCCCAGAUACAUUUGUAAACCUGUCAAGUUUGCUUCAGCUCAAUGUCUCGUACAAUAAUCUCACCGGUACUCUUCCCCCGGUGCCGCUUUUUGACAAUAUGGUUGUGACCAGCUUUAUUGGAAACAGAGGACUCUGUGGUGGACAACUUGGCAAGUGUGGAUCUGAGUCACCCUCCUCUUCCCAGUCAUCCGACUCGGUUAGUCGCCCUAUGGGCAAGAUUAUAGCAAUUAUUGCCGCCAUUAUUGGAGGAGUAUCACUUAUUCUUAUUGCCAUACUUUUGCACCAUAUGAGGAAACCAUUAGAAACAGUAGCCCCUUUGCAAGACAAGCAAAUUCUAUCUGCUGGGUCUAACAUUCCUGUUUCUGCGAAGGAUGCGUAUACAUUUCAGGAACUGGUCUCUGCUACAAGUAAUUUUGAUGAUAGUUGUGUCAUUGGACGGGGUGCUUGUGGAACUGUGUACAAAGCCGUCCUGAAGCCUGGGCAGAUAAUUGCGGUAAAGAAGUUGGCUUCUAACAGGGAAGGAAGCAACACCGACAACAGCUUCCGUGCAGAGAUCAUGACUCUUGGAAAGAUAAGACAUCGUAACAUUGUGAAACUGUACGGUUUCAUCUAUCACCAGGGUGCAAACCUUCUGUUGUAUGAGUACAUGCCAAGAGGCAGCCUUGGAGAGCUACUUCACGGAGAAUCUUCUUCUUCACUCGAUUGGGAGACACGCUUCACAAUAGCCCUUGGAGCAGCUGAAGGGCUUUCAUACUUGCAUCAUGAUUGCAAGCCUCGGAUCAUCCACCGUGAUAUCAAGUCAAAUAACAUUUUACUUGAUGACAACUUUGAAGCUCAUGUUGGUGACUUUGGGUUGGCUAAGGUGAUUGACAUGCCAGUCUCAAAGUCUAUGUCUGCAAUUGCUGGUUCAUAUGGCUAUAUUGCACCAGAGUAUGCCUACACCAUGAAGGUGACCGAGAAAUCUGACAUAUACAGCUAUGGCGUCGUGCUGUUGGAGCUGCUAACCGGUCGUGCGCCUGUGCAACCGAUAGAGUUGGGAGGUGAUCUGGUAACAUGGGCCAAAAAUUACAUCAGGGACAAUUCUCUGGGUCCAGGGAUCUUCGACAGUAAUCUUGAUUUGGAAGAUAAAGCCGUCGUCGAUCAUAUGAUCGAGGUCUUGAAAAUUGCUCUGCUAUGUAGUAACCUGUCGCCGUACGAGAGACCGCCGAUGCGGCAUGUUGUAGUUAUGUUAAGCGAGUCGAAAGAUAGGGCUCGGGUGAGCUUGGCGUCGUCGCCUACUUCUGAUUGUUCUUCGAAGAAGGAUAGCUCAUGA
rnacentral:rRNA from 1 species